rnacentral:rRNA from 1 species
CGUAGGCAACGGGUGAGUAACACGUGAGGAACCUGCCCCGAAGACCGGGAUAACCCUCCGAAAGGAGAGCUAAUACCGGAUACCCCCACCGAAUCGCAUGGUUUGGCGAGGAAAUGGAUUCCGCUUCGGGAGGGCCUCGCGGCCUAUCAGCUUGUUGGUGGGGUAACGGCCUACCAAGGCAUCGACGGGUAGCUGGUCUGAGAGGACGAUCAGCCACACUGGGACUGAGACACGGCCCAG